rnacentral:rRNA from 1 species
AGCGAACGCUGGCGGCAGGCUUAACACAUGCAAGUCGAGCGGGCAUAGCAAUAUGUCAGCGGCAGACGGGUGAGUAACGCGUGGGAACGUACCUUUUGGUUCGGAACAACUGAGGGAAACUUCAGCUAAUACCGGAUAAGCCCUUACGGGGAAAGAUUUAUCGCCGAAAGAUCGGCCCGCGUCUGAUUAGCUAGUUGGUGAGGUAAUGGCUCACCAAGGCGACGAUCAGUAGCUGGUCUGAGAGGAUGAUCAGCCACAUUGGGACUGAGACACGGCCCAAACUCCUACGGGAGGCAGCAGUGGGGAAUAUUGGACAAUGGGCGCAAGCCUGAUCCAGCCAUGCCGCGUGAGUGAUGAAGGCCCUAGGGUUGUAAAGCUCUUUUGUGCGGGAAGAUAAUGACGGUACCGCAAGAAUAAGCCCCAGCUAACUACGUGCCAGCAGCCGCAGUAA